GUGGGGAAUCUUGCGCAAUGGGCGAAAGCCUGACGCAGCCAUGCCGCGUGAAUGAUGAAGGUCUUAGGAUUGUAAAAUUCUUUCACCGGGGACGAUAAUGACGGUACCCGGAGAAGAAGCUCCGGCUAACUUCGUGCCAGCAGCCGCGGUAAUACGAAGGGGGCUAGCGUUGCUCGGACUUACUGGGCGUAACGGGCGCGUAGGCGGACAGCUUAGUCAGAGGUGAAAGCCCAGGGCUCAACCUUGGAAUUGCCUUUGAUACUGGCUGUCUUGAGUUUGGGAGAGGUGAGUGGAACUCCGAGUGUAGAGGUGAAAUUCGUAGAUAUUCGGAAGAACACCAGUGGCGAAGGCGACUCACUGGCCCAAUACUGACGCUGAGGCGCGAAAGCGUGGGGAGCAAACAGGAUUAGAAACCCGGGUAGUCC
rnacentral:rRNA from 1 species